AUUGAACGCUGGCGGCAGGCCUAACACAUGCAAGUCGAGCGGUAGAGAGGUGCUUGCACCUCUUGAGAGCGGCGGACGGGUGAGUAAUGCCUAGGAAUCUGCCUGGUAGUGGGGGAUAACGUCCGGAAACGGACGCUAAUACCGCAUACGUCCUACGGGAGAAAGCAGGGGACCUUCGGGCCUUGCGCUAUCAGAUGAGCCUAGGUCGGAUUAGCUAGUUGGUGAGGUAAUGGCUCACCAAGGCGACGAUCCGUAACUGGUCUGAGAGGAUGAGCAGUCACACUGGAACUGAGACACGGUCCAGACUCCUACGGGAGGCAGCAGUGGGGAAUAUUGGACAAUGGGCGAAAGCCUGAUCCAGCCAUGCCGCGUGUGUGAAGAAGGUCUUCGGAUUGUAAAGCACUUUAAGUUGGGAGGAAGGGUACUUACCUAAUACGUGAGUAUUCUGACGUUACCGACAGAAUAAGCACCGGCUAACUCUGUGCCAGCCGCCGCAGUAACAC
rnacentral:rRNA from 1 species